GGGUCAACCCUUGCCAGGGUCCAGACUCAGUCUCUGAAAAGGUCCCCCUUCCUCAAUGCUCCUAAGACUGAAGCACCUACCUGGAGCUCACUGGGCCACUCACAUGGGUUUCCGUGGCUAUGCUACACGGGAAGCCAAGUCAUAGUCAGAAGCCACUUGACUGAUUGUGAAAAAAAUGGCUUUCAACAAGACCAGGAAUAAGCACAGCACAUGUUCUCUGUUUAGACAGCCAAGAGUGGUUAAUCUACUUGCCCAGGACGGGCCAGCUGGAGCUGCAGAGGAAUGAACCCAGAGCCUGUGCUCCAGGCAGGCACACACACGGCCUCUGGGGUGGGGGUCGGGGGGACUUGGGGCUGGGAGCCACACACGCAACCUCUGGGGGGUCACACACAUGACCUCCGAGGAGCUUCCCAUGCUAGUCUUGCACAAAUCCCUAAGAGUUAUUUCCAGGGUAUCAUAUGCUGAUACCCUGGAAACACAUGUUAAAAGCUGAUGAUGGUUACUUAGCGGGGUGUCUGGGCCUUUUUUGGUCAGAAACAAGAACUAGAAAGGAUGAAUCUGAAAUUCAGAGAAAGUACUGUAGGACAGUGGUCCCCAACUUUUUUGGCAGCAGGGACCGGUUUCAUGGAAGACAAUUUUUCCACAGCCGGUGGGAGUAGUGGGGAUGAUUUUAGGAUGGAACUGUUCCACCUUGGAUCAUCAGGCAAUAGUUAGAUUCUCAUAAGGAGCACACAACCUAGAUCCCUCGCAUGCACAGUUCACAAUAGGGUUCAUGCUCCUAUGAAAAUCUUUUGCUGCUGCUGAUCUGACAGGAGGCAAAGCUCAGGUGGUAAUGCUUGCUUGCCCAAUGCUCACCUCUUGCUGUGUGACCUGCUUCCUAACAGGCCCCAGACAAUCCUGGUCUGUAGCUGGGGGUUGGGGACUCCUGCUGUAGAAGAAUGAGCAGUUGCAACCAGCUCCACAGCUGAGUAGCUGCCAUCACCAGCCUGGAGGGUCAGGCUGCCUCACAGGCCCUUCACUCCAUUAUUGGGCAAAUGGAAAGGACUCAUUCGGGCUGUCUCCUGGGGGAAAGGUCAUAACGUGUGGCGCAGGAGCUUGUGUCUCUGAUAGGCUGCACACUCCUUCCAUGACUGAUGGUCAGCGUGGGGAAUGCUCCACAGGUUUUUUGAGUAUGAGAGCCCACAAGUAUUUUAGUUUAUGAAGAAUGUUCAUACAUGUCAUUUCAUUCAUGGGUGAACUCAAACUCGAAGGACACAGAGGCAGUAAACGCCAGGUGGACUCCACAUCAGGGGCCGACCAGGGUCCCAAGCCCAGUGAUCUCAUAAACCCCCAAAAGCGGGCCUCCGCCCCUGGGCUCUGGUAGAUGGCACUGGUAGCAUACUCUCCACCCCUUCCUGGCCAGUGGCACCCACUGCCUGCCUUCAUGCAGGAGAGAGAGCCUCAUUCAGGUCUUCAACAAGCCAGCUUUUAUUUUUAUUUCAGAUUUAAGCCAAUUCUUGUCAAGAUCAAUAGCAUCUUGGUCAAUAGAAUUAUUUGAAACCCUUAAGAUACAUAACUUUAAGUAGCCUUUGGAAUAAUGCACUUUAGAAAUAUUUUCAAAGGCAUUUGACUGGAACAGCAAGGGGGUUACUCUCACUGGAGAAUCCUUUCAGGGAGAUGAUUCGGCAGUUCAGAGUCAUUUGGGCAAGCGAUUCAUUCUCAGCAGACCACAAAUAUCCCCCAGCCCUUCCUCCAUCUGUGUCCCAAAACUAACAAGCCUGUUCUUCUCUUGGGAAACAUUAAUCUGACUAAUGGCCUCAAUCCCCAUCUCAUACCCUUCCUGGGAAGACUGGAUCAUCAUUAACAAACCCCAAAUCUUCCAGAACCUCCCUAUGACUGACCAACACUCAUGUCCCGACGUAUGGACUACUUCCUCACGUGCCCCCCAACUCUGUUUCUCUUGCUCCCAAUAGAUCAGCUCUCCCCUUGGCUGGAGGCAAGUGGACUGUGCAGGGGACACUCCCUGGCAGCACCAACCCGCCUGCUGCCCAGAUGCCCCUCACACCCUGCAGGGCCACGCUGCCAAAGGCCAUGGCUUCCUGGUGACAGCAGUACUCCUGGAAACAUUGUAAAUCAACCCCACAGCCUUUCCCAGCAUCUUUCCUGGGCAGAGGAGGAAAGAGCCCUGCUGUGAACAGUGUGGUCAUGGGCCAGGUGUCCAGGAACAAGAGAAGUCACCCGCAUGCUUGCAUUCCACAGAGGGCAGUUUCACUGGCCCUGGGUCUGCUAUCUGUCACACAGGUGGCACUGGAUUUCAGAGUUUCUGAGGGGCGUUUUCUUUUGUUCUUACCCCUACCAAACACUAUCUAUGCAGGUCAAAUCCAUAGCAUCUGUGGGCCCCUCAUUUGAGGACUGCCUAAGCUCAUUCUCAAAAAAAAAAAUAAAUAAAUAAAAUGAAAACCAUCAAGCAGGCAGAGACGAUGAAAACCAUUGCUUCAGAGUGUGUCUGCCUCAGUCCUGUCUCCUGGGGGACAGGGGUGUGUAGAGAGUAUGGCCACUGAGCCUGGACAGGAGCUGUGGGGUGGGUCUGCAAGCUGCGUGUCAGCAGUUGAGGUGAGGAAUGGUACAGAAUGAAGACUGUCUGUGAGUCCCCUGAAACUCACACCAUCAUUUCAGGUCUUCAUACACACGAAAUAAUCCAUGAGAUAACUUUUCCAAAUUAACUGCAAGAAGUCUUUAAGAGGUUGUGGGGGAACUUUUUACAGGAGCAUACGAUGGGAAAUGUUUUGAGG
rnacentral:lncRNA from 1 species